GCCUCUGCGCCCGAGGACCAUCACAGUGCCAACAGCUCCUGCAUCCCUGGCACAUCAGCCUCUCCUCCCAGUUCUGUGCCACCUGCAAACCUGCUCAGGGUAUGCGCUGCCUUUCACACCAGUGCAAAACUGCCCCAUCCCUGGGGAGUGUGGGAAAGCUGCCCCAUCCCUGGGGAGUGUGGGAAAGCUGCUCUGUCCCUGGAGGGUGUGGGAAAGCUGCCCCAUCCAUGGGAGGUGUGGGAAAGCUGCCCUGUCCCUGGGGGUGUGGGAAAGCUGCCCCAUCCAUGGGAGGUGUGGGAAAGCUGCCCUGUCCCUGGGGGGUGUGGGAAAGCUGCUCUGUCCCUGGGAGGUGAGGUCAGAGCUGCCCUGUUCACCAGCAAGAGGAAGUUCAGGUCCUUGCAUUCCAUAUGGUGCUUUUGCUUUACCUGUUAAGCUGACUUUAUCUCAACCCACCAGUUUUCUCACUUUUACCCUCCCCAUCCUGCUCCGGGGCCUGAGCAGGUAAAACCAGAACAGCUGCAGCAAUCUUGAAGACAAAUUGUGCCAUUUUCUGGGCAAAAAUGGGAUAGGGUCUACCAAGGAAAGGUGUUUACCAAGGAAAGGAAGGGACAGAACUAGCUGAAGGAGUUCUUUCUUUUGCUGAAAUAACUGAUGUGAUUUUCUCUGUAAAAAUCAUUGAUGGCUUCAGCAAUGAUCUUUUCAGACCAGGGAACAGUGGAUGAAACCCACUUCAAACUGAUAUCUUAGAGCUGAGCAGAGUGAAAGCCCCUGUAUCUCCAGCACAAUGUGGAUGCAGAACAAAAGCUAAGUCUCCGACUGUUUACUGCUUCUGAGAAUACCUUUCAAGUGAAAACAAUUGUUCAAACAAACCUUGAGAAGAAACAAAGUGAACAGCUACAUGAAUAAUGAAUGACACCACACGAGUGUUACUGGUCUUCUGGAUGGAGCCAUUUGUUCUCGGAGCCCAAGUAUUUGUGCUUCCAGUGUGGCUUACUCUAUAUUCCUUCAACUAGAGCUGAUAUUAAACUUGUUCACGCAUGUUUUUGGAACAAAACAAUAUCUUCUGUGCUCUGCUGCCUUGCCCCCAGCAGAAGGGCAGAUUUUUGUAAGGAGAAAGGGCUUGGAGAUAACAUUGUGCGAAAGCAGAGGUGAGUCUUUGCUUUAAUGUCUUUUGUGGGAAGGAAACUCAGCUGCCUCUCCGAGCAGGUAGCAGCCCAGGUGCUGAAUUCCCCUGCUGUGAGAGCACACACAGACUGGUAUCUCCCACCCCUCGAGGGCGGGAGGGUCCUGGGGGGUGAUCCCUGUCUCCAUGUCUCAUGCCUCUCCACGUUCUUUCUGAGCUGCACCAAAACACAUUUCUUAAAGUUUUCAGGUUCUGUUCCAGCUCUUUUUAUCAACAAACCAAUUCAAAAUAUUUUCUCUUCUGACAGUGGUGUUCUACCUGUGUAACUUCCACAGCCACCUUCACUACCCUUCUAAAAGGAGUACAGAUGAAAAAUUUUUUUUAAAGUCUUUUAAAACAGCCAGAAAUUAAUCAUUUGAACUGAUAGUAUCAUGGGAAAGCCUGGAACACACAUCUGUCUGGAAAAUUCAUGGGUACCUGAGAACAAGAAAUCAUAUUUGGCUCUGGAAUUUUUAAUAUUUGCUUCUUCUACUACUCCUUCUGCUGAAAUAUAUUCUGUUACAGUUUUGUCAAUUCCUGGAUAAGGAAUGGAGCAAUACUUUAAUCUUCUCUGAGGCAGACUGCAUAUUUUAAAAGCUCUAUAAACAUGAGUUUUCCAAAGAACAAUCAUUGUUCCUGUAGGCAUUAAUGUUACAAACCAAGUAAUAAGGCUUCAAGCACUAAUCAAAAAAUCAGAAUUGCAAGUUGGUAACAAACAACCUAAAGCCUAAAUAGCUCUUAGCACUAAAAAUAAAUUCAGCCUUGUCUGGGAUCUCCACAGAGCUUUGUACCUCCCAGACCAUAAAUAUUUUUCCAUUUCAGCUUUCAAAUUAGUUACUGAUUAGAUACCUCAACAUCUGUAGGAGAACCUUCCCUGGAAGAGGAAGCAAACUGGUUUGCCGAGGUUCUGUUUGAUGAAGUUGAGAGGUACCUGCAGAGCAGAUCUGCUUCCAAAAGCCAGCCCUGUCCAUUUUCCUAGUUUAUUACUGCAGUGUUUUCAGUGGAACCCGACAAAUCUGUUCCACCAGCAGAGCUAAAUCCGCUCCUCUCUGCCAGGCAGCAGCCGCUGGCUCCGGGCACACGGCCAAAGUGCCCAGCCCCUGCCCGGCCCAGCACAGCCCGGGAGCUCUGAGCCCAGCAGCCCUUGCAGAGGGCAGGGCUGGCAGUGAGCCGGGCUCUGGGGCUGCUGCAGAUCCCUCUGGCUGCUGAAAUGGUGUUUGCCACCUCAACCAGCACCGAGACCCUGCCCCUUGCACAGACCUGAGAAUGAUGUAUCAGCUGUCCUACAACAUCUCUCAUUAAGCUGUUUCUUUUGGCAAAAGGAGGCCUUUGAAGGGAUGGCAGGGUUCAGGGACUAACUUUUGUAACAGGGAGCUUUGGUUCAGAGCCCUGAGAAAGGUUACUGAGUAGGAAGUUUUUGAGAGAGUGAAACAGAAACAAAAUCUUCAGACUGCCCUGUCUUAGGGGGAAAAUUCUGCACAGUUGAGUCCUGCUGAUACCACGACUCCGAGGGCACCGAGGUCCUGGCCUCUCUCUUUGUCCUCAGGCAGAGCUGUGGGCUGAGCUGUAGCCCUGAUCAUCUGUACUUAAAAAGCACUUUUGCUGGAAUUUCCCAAAGCAUAAAAUUUCUGCUUGUAGCUGUAUUUUAAUUUGUUGUGGGAUAUCAGCUGUUCUCUUGUCAGAGUUUUUUGAUCCAUAACAAAGUCCCAAAAGCUGUGUUUUGUGCUGAUGGUUUUUCAGAUGGAAUGGGAUAAUCCAGAUUCUUCCUCUUGGCACCUCUUCCCUGAAUUCCACCCCAUUGCCCUAAUCAUCAUCCCAUGACACAGUGAUGACUAAAAACACUAGAAAUUUUUAUUGAAAUAGUUUCUGCUGGUGCCAUUUGAACUGCAUUUUAGCACUUUCUCAGACUACUCCAAAUGAGCUGCAUGAACAUCACGUCACAAGCUGCGCAGUGCUGUUCUCAACUUGGGGCCAGAGCAGGCUGAUGCCACUGUGAUGUUUACUGACAAGCCAAAACGCAUUCUGGAGACAAACACCAUUGUUUCCUUCACAAAUGAAAGCAGACAUCCCUAAAGCUCUAGACACUCUCCAAAAUGCCUGUUUAAAGUAAACGAUAACAGGAUUGCUUUCCACUAGCUUUGGGCAGCAGGAUGUUCAAAGACAUGUGAUCUAAAAACCUGACUGCUUUAUCUGGGACCUGGGGACAGGGCUCAUUGAAGGCAUGUAUCAAUGCCCAGCUCCCUACUGCUGUCCCAGACACUCACAUGUGCCCACAGGGAUGAGGUCGGAGCCUUCUGAGCAUCUUGUCUGAGUGUGCUGCUACCAGGAAGACCUGAAGGGUGCCUGGAGAGCCAUGUCCUUCACAGGACCUGCUCUCAAGAACCAGAUCUCUCUUCUGAAAUGCCCCAGAUGACUGACACCUCAUCCUGCUGGGAGCCAGCUCGAGACUGUGGGGUGGUCAGGAGGAGGCUUGGUCCCACCUACCUGGCCCCAGUGCAGUGAGGUCUGGCUCUGGACAUAUCUCUGGUUUCAUCUGAGGCUCUGCUGGACACGUGACAUCCCACACACCUGCACCUCACCCUGUACCUUCUGCUUCAGCACUGCUGGCUCUGUCCAGGAGGGACUUUGGACUUUGUGAGGAUGCAGGUGAGGUCACUGUUACAGAACUUUCUCUGUAUUCCCCAGGUAUCCUGCAGCAGAGUCUCAAGCUUUAAGCCCAAUUCAAGUGCUACAGUGGUAGGAACAGCUGGAGAUGGGUGCCUCCGAGGAGGGACCCCAAACAAAGGAAUCCCUGGCCUGUUAUACCCUGACAGUCCCUGCACCCCAUCCUCACCUGCUUCUCACACCCUGCACACAGCUCUUGGUUCAAUGGUGAUUUUUGGUCUGGGGUCUUCUCACACCUUAGUAGAUUCUUUCUCUCUCUCCCAGUGGGCCAGUAGCUGUUUUGAUCUGGUUGUGACUUCGUAACUUCCAGCUUACAUAACUAAGAGCUCAAGACAAAUUAAGUUCAGCCAAAGGUAAGUGUUAAGAUAAAUUCAGCCUAAGGCUUCAGUAACUUUAGCUUCUCAUGUUAAGUAAAACUACUCAGACAGAAAAAUACAAUUAACAGAAUUCAGCUGGCUUGAAUUAACCUACAGCAGCCACUCAGAAGCCCAUUGGACACGUUCACACACUGGAAGGCAUCUGGAACCCCCUGUCCCACACGGAUCAGCACACAGCAAGAAGAGCAGCUCUCCAGAGCAACACUGCAGGAGGAAGGACAAGACCACUGGCAAGCGAGUAAUUAACAUCUACUGGUUUCUAGUUCAGGUUAGUUUGAGAGGAGAUCAUCUGACUUCUGGUUUCACUCCUGCUGGGACCAAUAUGAUGAAACUGAAACAAAGUAGAAAAUAUGCACAUCUUAAGUGGAAAGGAAUUCAUUCCUGAGACCGAUAAAACAGAACCAUAAUAAACAUUUAGGGAAAACAUUAAAAUCCAUUGAAUUUCCCUUCUCUAUAUGAAAGACAAGGAAUUUAAAACACCAGUUUGAAUUCAUUUUGAGUCAAUUCACAUUCAGAAAAUGUACUUUGGCUUUCCUCAUGUGGAGGCAGUUAAUGAAUCUAACCCCAGAGCUAUAUAUUAUCAGUUCCCUAGUUAUCACAAUAACCUCAGACCAGUAACCCUCAUUACCUGUACUGCUCGCCUCAUCUUGUUCAAUUAGGCACAGAUAAAUAAAUGGAAAAGAACUGAAAUUAUUUAUUUGGUAGGACAGUGUUUCUCUCCCUUAUCCAGGUAGAGUUCUCCAAAAUUAUUUCCAAGAAAUCUAUCAGAGUGGUUGUUUGGUGUCUUUUGGUGGGAAAUCCACACUCAGACACCCCCAACCAUGCACGAACACCCCACAUUCACUGCCCUCAGCACAGACACUUAAAGCAGUGGGUCCAUGAAGUGACUCCUGCUUUCAGAAGCACCCACGUCCCCAGCAUAGAGAGGGAUGAUAUGAAGGCUCCUCCAUGGACACAUGUGACAUCUGCAGAGGGCAACCCCAGGGACAGAGCUCUGAGAAAAGGGAGGCAGAGCAUUUCACAAAAAUUAUUCCCUCAUCAACAGAUAUUUCAAACCCAUGAAAUAGAAAGACAUUCCUCACAAAUGGCUAGAUAAAGAAAUGGGAAAUGUGGUGCCUUUGAACAGAAAUGCAUUCACAUGGAUAAUCAGAUUGCAGAGAUAUCAGGCUAGGCACUUACUUUAUGGUAUCUCUAUUUCUUUUCUGGCACAGAUAUAAAGAUUUUCACAGCUCUUUUCAACAGAGGAAAUGUGAGCUGCCUGCUCUCACUAAUCCAAUUGCUUGCUCGUAUAAUCACAUUGUAAAGAGGCCAGUAAUGCUGUAAAAGCAGGGGAGAGAGAGGAAAAAAAUCCAGACCAGCUUCUCCCUCUGUCUCACUGCUCAAAGUGUAAAUGUCACUCUUUUUAUGUGUGCAAAUAAAUGAAGGAAUGAAUCUUGCACA